UUAAAUUGAAGAGUUUGAUCAUGGCUCAGAUUGAACGCUGGCGGCAGGCCUAACACAUGCAAGUCGAACGGUAACAGGAAACAGCUUGCUGUUUCGCUGACGAGUGGCGGACGGGUGAGUAAUGUCUGGGAAACUGCCUGAUGGAGGGGGAUAACUACUGGAAACGGUAGCUAAUACCGCAUAACGUCGCAAGACCAAAGAGGGGGACCUUCGGGCCUCUUGCCAUCGGAUGUGCCCAGAUGGGAUUAGCUAGUAGGUGGGGUAAAGGCUCACCUAGGCGACGAUCC
rnacentral:rRNA from 1 species